rnacentral:rRNA from 1 species
UUGAAAGGGAAACGAUUGAAGUCAGUCGUACCGACGAGAAAUCAGCUUAUUGCGUGUUAACUUGUGGGCGUGCGUGAGUUUCGGCCUCGCUGUUUGCAUGUUUGUGCGCUUUGGGUGUACUUUUUCGUAUGGUUGGCCAACAUCAGUUUCGAUCACUAUAAAAUGACUGGCGGAAUGUAGUUUCGAUUUCGGUUGAAGUGUUAUAGCCUCUGGUAGAUGUGGUAAUUGGGACUGAGGAUUGCAACGAAUAUCCUUUGGGCUAUCCGUCUGGCCUCUGAAAGUUGCUUGGGUGCUGAAAGCUUGCUUAUGGUUAUCUAAGUUAACGGUCAAUAGGUUAGAACGUGAUUACAUUCGUUAAGGAUGUUGACGUA